UCUGAGUGAUUCAACUGGUGGAACUGGCCUCAAGGAUUACAGAUGAACACAUGUAACCCUUUCAUGGGGCUAGAAGCCAUUGCAAAGUUAUUUGUACUGUAUGUAUGCAAAUCAGCUUCAGUUCCAGGUAGUCUGGGAGAAGUUUGAGGGGGAUUUCCCUGCUUUAUGUAAUCUACUGUUACUUCUUAGCUUCCUCUAUUCACAUGGCCAGGAGACAUAAGCUUGACACUGCUGGUAAUUUCUCAAACUCAAUUUGAAAGCAAAGACAAUGUACUUAGUGACCUAAAAGCAGUUCUGUAGCUUUUGGUAAAUCCUCAGAUGCUGGUUGGAUGAUACCUGGAAUGAAGGAGGCCUGAAAGAGCAGUAGGGGAGUAACUCAGAGGGUAAGGACUUCACUUCUGGCAUACUUUGCGAACGGUUGGAAGCCAAGAAGAUCUGUGUGCUAUCCCCUCAGAUAUAACUCUGGCCUACCCACAGCACUAAUUUCUCAAUCCAUACAGAGUGCUACACCUUGCAUGUGGUGGGCACUAUCAGUUUAGUCUCUGAUCAGUGUGAGGUAGUUACAAGUCCCCUGCAGACCAGACUGCGAGCACACAGAUGUGACUGCCUUCACCUUUCCACGUGGAGCAAUUUAUGCCAAUUCUAGACAACUCCAGAUGUGUGUCUUUCCCACCAGUAUCUGCAGAGACUUGGCUCUGGAGAUAGAAUUAUGCUUGCCAACAGGCAGCGUCCCUGUGCCUUCAGACCCAAGGGUCGAGUUCCUGCUGCCACACUUUCAUCCCUGGCUCUGCUGCCAGAUGUGCUGUGGGAUGGAGGGCAGACAUACUGGCCCUGAGUCUAAUCUGUCAUCAGCUGAGAGGCUGCUGGCUCCCGCAGUGCCUGUGAACCAAAGCUGCUCUGUUUGUUCCUCUCCCUUCGUCCUGAGCCAGGCAGUGCCAGAAGGAGGGAUUUCUUCUUAAGGAGCUGGAUAAAAUGAACCGACUAAUAGAAACGGUGAGACUGAGAAGGGCUACUGCAGGUUGAAAAGACAGAUGCAAUGGAGAAACUCCUUUCCACUCCUCAAUUCAAUAAGUCUUUGAUUCGCUAGCUUUGUUCACAUCCAGGACAGCCGGAAGAAAACAGUCACCUUGUAUUUUUGUACCUGAUGAGAAAACCCCAGAUUGUAUGUGUGCACUGGGACAGUUCAAUGUCUGUCUAUUCCAACUUCAAAGAGGCUUUCAAUGCUCUUUGAGAUGCAGGGUGUGAGGAAGGGUGAGAACUGCUAAAGCUAGCCACAUCCUCAUUAAAUCUUUGCCCUCUUGGAGCAAGCAUGCAAGUGGAGAGAAUAGAUGAUAUGCAUGAGCAACUGAGCAUCUGUGAUCUCAUGACCUUUGACUGUUGUAUUAUGGGAAAUGUAUUCUUUGGUUGCUAUGCUUUUCUAAUUCAUUUGUAUUUUCCUUCAGUGACUCCCUUGUAUUUUCUCUGGUGCUCCUGUGUAAGGGCUUCAAGGAACUACAGAUAUCUCCAAGUUAAGCAUGCAUACAAUAGCUUUAAUUAAAUGUUUGUGAGUAUCCCACAGUAAAGCGAGGGAAAGCAAACAGUUUUGUACUCACUUGUACCUAUCCCUUCUGAGCCCUGGCUUGGGUGGAGGCAUCUGCACCAUUGCCCUUUAAGUCUAUUUCUAAGCCUUGAAAUGAAGGCAAUCAGGUUCUACUGCUCUGCAUGUAAACGCUUCAGGAAUUUCACUCCCAUUAAAAAGCUACAGAUCACCUGUGAAAGGUACAAUGCUAAAACCUUUUAGAUUAGGCUAGAAGAAAUAAAAAAUAAAUUAGGGGAGACAUUUCUUUACUCCACUUACAAAACUGGAGAAUGAGGCUAAAAAUAUCCUUAACCAUUUCUUAAAAUACACUAAAAUGCUAUAGGGAAGAGUAGCAUGAAAGUAAAGGCUUUGGUCUUCAAUAUUCUGAAAUCAAUCUUUUUUAUUCUCUGUGCCAUUGACAGAGUCUCAGUCUUGGUGCCACCCUCCAUGAUAAAUUAGCUUAUUAUUAUUAUUAUUAUUAUUAUUAUUAUUAUUAUUAUUAUUAUUAUUAUUAUAGAUGGGGAUCUUUGCUUGUUUUCCAAGUAGUUAACUACAUUGUUUAUGUAUAGAAGAAAGCUGCAAAGAAAUUUGUUUUCAUUUCAGGCAUUUAAAAUAAAUAUACAUGAGGAAAAUGAAAUUUGGAAGGGAAACUUUCAUCAUGCAAAGAUGAAGGAAUAGGAAACAGGAUGCAAAGGUUAUUUGUCAGUUCUUUGAGUCAAAUACAAGACAAUUUUACAGUAUGUAAAGUCGUGAGUCUCUUUAGAGGAAGAAUCUUUCUUUCUCUUGAUAUGGAAGAGUCAGCAGUAUCUGCAAGGAUAACCAAGAGGCCUAACACUAGUGAUUACUGCUAAUGCUUAGUACUAGUAUAAAGUACUUCUCUUAAGUUUUUCAAUGACUGACAUCACUAUUAUUUCAGAGUUGAUAUAAACUAAUUUUAAAACACUCUGACCUAGCUGUACAUAUUUUAUUGCAAAUCUGUCCAUUACUUCUCAGUGGCUCCCAGAGACAACAUACAUCAGAAAAUAUAAUUGUAAGACAAGAAAGAAAAAAUAAAGGCCAGUUCGACGAAUAAUAAAGAACCCAUGCUUCUAACACUGACCGUGGCUAUUCCCCACCUGAAACCAGAGACAUUGCCAGUUUUUGCAGUCUGAUGUGCUGGAUUCGAGUGGAGGCUGUGCAGAGCAGGGGCUGGCCUAGAUUUGCUGGAGCUUGAGCAGCAGUGACUUUUUACAAGGGAACAGAAAGCAUGGGUUGUUUCCCUUACAUAGCAAGGCACAAACAACAAUAGGGUUAUCUGAGAAGAUUGAGAACUGCUGACAUUAGAAACAUGAACUGGCAACUGCAAAGAAGAGUAGGAGUGGGAUGAAAAGCAGUCCUACAAAGUGAAGGAGGAAAGGAGGCCAGGGAGGAUCUAAAAUUGGGAGCAGCUAACAAAUGCUGAUAGAGACGUCUUUCCUCAAGGGCCUGAUCCUGAGCACAUUCAGGCCAACUUAAAGAUUUCUACACAGAUUUUUGAGAUACUCUUAGUGAAGAUUUCUGCUUUUUGACCCUCUCUUGAGAUAUAGUCUGCAAUUCCACUGCAUCUUCAGGAUAUGCUUCUGAAAAAUACACUUAGUUUUGAUGAUGGCUGAGAGUAAAGAACGUUUAUUCUGAGGGUUGUGUGAAGAAGGAUUUACAUUUCACCCUCCUUCAUCUCUGCGAUGUCUGUCUGAUGCCUGUAUUCCAGCCCAUCAGUUCAGAUAGCCCAGUGACUGUAGCAAGGACACAGAACAAUGGCGCAAAGAGGGCACACAGCCUGGCCUUUUUUGGGUUUCUGCUCUGAUAAUGGCGGGUUUUGAUUUUUGUUGUUUCAUUUUCUGAAUUAUUUACUCAAGCUGCCCUGAGCGCUCUGCUCCAUAUAAAACGAGAGCUGGCAAGUACUGAGAUUUAUAAGUUCCACAGCUCCAUCAGCUUAACUUUUAUUCAUUGCCUUAGACUUUUCUAUUUGUCAUUUACAUUUUUUGCUUAGUACUGUUUAUAUCUCACCUGUCAGUCUUCUAAAUGAAAUGACUGGCAGAAUGACUGUCUUCACUGUUGCUUCUCUGUCUCCUACUGUAUUGCAGUUGUGAAACUGUUGCACCAAAACCCAAAUUACUCUUGUUUUCCAUCCUAUCAGGUACUCCAUGGACUAUUUCUGUCCUUCUCCUCUAGCAGCGACAGUUGAUUUACAUCACCAAGACUAAGGCCAGGAAAAUGGAUGCCUGACUUUCUCCCAGGGCUGAGAUUUUAUGGAGAGCAAUUAGUUAACUAUUUUCACCAUACUUCCCAAAAAUACCCAGCCCUUCUCCAUGACACUAAUUAAGGCCCAUAGGGAUGCAGUAAUCUUAAGCCUUGGGCAACCAUAAGUACAUUCAGUCUUCUCUGGUUCUUCAUGUUGCAUUUCCCUUUAGUAAGUCAUAACUAUGUUUAUUCUCCAAAUACAUAAGGAGCUUGAAGUUAAAGGUCAAAGUUCAGUGCAAUCCAUCUACUCUGUGACCUAAACAGUGCAAUUUACUGACAAAUGCUCCCCCCAAAUUUUCUGCUUUCUUGGGAUAAGGAGAGGGAAUUGAAAGAGAAGAAAACAGUGAUUAGUGAUUUCUUUACAACUUCUUUUUAUUAGCUUGUUCUAAACCAGUUUGGUGUCCCCCACCUAUCCCUGACAUAAAAGCAAGUGCAAAUGUAGCAGACCUUUCUGUAUGCUGUGAAUGCAGUGCCUGUCACCCUGUUGAGACCCCAAACAGACUUGGAAGCAAGAAGACAGGUUGAAAAAUGAGUAUAAAUACUCUGCACGAAGCUGGUAAGACAGCAAAGUCACAAUGGUGCAAAGAAAAAUGUCAAAAGUUAAUCCCAGGUGUAAUACCUCAGAGGCCAGAUGUAUGUUGGGAGAGGUGUUGUUCAGCUAAUAUUUAUGUUUUGUUUUCCCUUAGCCUUAGCCAGCGACUGCUGCAUUCUCUAUAGAAGCCUUGCAUGGCCUGUUGUUGCCUUUCCAAGUUUCUUAUUCAAUAGCACAUUUUUUUUUCUUAUUUUUAAAUGCUUGAUGGAGUCUUAAGACAUUUUUAACUUAACAAUAAAACACCUGCAUUUUAUUAAGACUUGAGACUCAAGUUCCUCCUCCCUCAAUUUUACUGAAGUGUUGCCAUUACUUGGGUUAACUCUUUCAUAGUCAGUUUUGCUGUGAGAGUGAAGUUACACAUCUGCUACAUAUAGCCCAUUUCCACAGUCCUACACUGUAUUUGGCGGAAAGGAAAACCAGCUCUGAGAUAGACCCAGAGAACUCCAUCCAGUGCUGACUGGAAAGGGGUGCAGAACCCCUAAGCAACAGCUGCAGAGGCUACACCCUGCCUAGCACAACAGCCCUGCAGUAAUGUCUGCUGGCAACGUAAAACUUAAAACUAAAAUGUCCUUACCAGCCACUUCUGUUUCAAGAGUGAGAUCUUUGAGUUGUACCACAGAAACUCCAUUAAACUAAAUAGAAAAAUGUAUUAUUUUCCCUGUUCCUUUCCUUUUCUCAUUAAAUUGUCUUAAAUGAGAAGCAGAACAGCCUUGUACAGUGAUUUUUAUGCCUGGAUGUCCAAGUGUGUUAUUAUCCCUAUAUUAAAUUAGAAAAAUGGCAGCAUGUGAAGUAAUUGCCCAGAUUCAUGCAGCCGUUUAGUAGGAGGGCUGACAAAUUCAGUUGUCAAUGUACUAAGCAACUGCCUUAUUACUCAAUUAAUUUAACUUUUUGAUAAACAAUUAUUUGCCAAGUCCACUUCACACACAUCACAGAAGCAUUGCACUGUGAAGAGCAACAACUGCUAGCUAUUUUACCAAGUAUGAUCACUGAAGACAGGAGACAGAAAAUGCAACCAGACAGGGACUGAGGAUCUGUACACCAUCAGUUCUGAUUCCAUCUCUGUUGCUAUCUAUGUGUUUAUGGGCACGUAAAUUUAGUUUUUUAUGACUCAGCUUCCUAUCUAUGCAAGAGAGAGAGUAAUUCUUCACAGCCAGCAAAUGAAUUAAGAGGUCACAGACUUCUGAGGUUAUUCUUAGUUAUUCAUCUUAGGACUUUAGUGACAUACCUAUACAGGAAUAAUUGUACUAAUAUGCAUCAGACCUGCAUGGAGAUAACAGGUACAUCAGAGGUUCAGAGGUUUGAGGAUACUCAAAUACCAUGGCUACAGAGCCAUACGAAUUCCUAGGAUAACCAGGUAGGCAGAUAAUAAGAAAAAUAUUAGUUGGUGCCCAGUAUAUAUUACCAGUAUAAUUCAUUCAAUAGGUGGUUAUUAUUUAUUAUACAGUCUGAUGCAUUAGAAGCUGGUGUGAUUUAUACUGAUACAUCCCUACAACACUAGUAUAGGAAAUACUAUCAAAUAAGGUGGCACUCAUAAAAGGAAAUGUACAAAGUUUACGCUACUCUUGCAAACAAAUAAUUUCCAUUCAUUCAUACAUACCAGUAUAUGAUUUCAAAUCUGUAUAGGUAUCAAUAAUCAUUGGAAACGGCCUUUAUCAUUGUGGCAGAGACAGUUUUAGGGACAUAAAAAACUAUUGCUAUUGCAUAGAAUGUGAAAUGAUGCGGGGAUCCAGUAGACUGGCACAUGUAGCAGUGAAAGUCAUAUUGUGUGAGAGUAGCAGACAGCCCCUAUGACCUAGUGCUAGCUCUGACCACAAACCAGGGAGUAUAUUCUUGUGUGCCCAUUGAGGAGCACAGCUUGCCUCACCUGCCAUUUGGAAAGAUAAAGGCUGAACAUCAUUUAUAAAGGUAAUCUAGAGCAGAUUUUUUACAUUUGAGUCAAGACUCAGAAGAUUCUUACUUUUCCAUUCAGUGUAAAUAUGCAUAAACAAUCAUUCUGAAUUGCUUUUAAAAGUAUAUGUACACAGUCUUUCAAAGUGUCUCUUAAAAUAAAUUGGUGUAAAUCUCACAUUUGUUUGAGUUUACAGCCUUUAACUAGCAUUAGGAAGCUAUGAUUUAUAUUGCUGUGUAGAUCACAUCUGCUCAUAAAUCGUGGUUUGAAAACAUUGCACAUCUGUGGUAUGAAAUGUGUGCAAAUUAGAGAAUUAUAUGACAUUACGAGUUACUUACAUGCAAAUGUAAGCACUGUAUGCUUCAUUUUCUGUGUAGUAUUUGAAGUCAUGUUAUUAUGUAGCAUAAACUACAAUCAUCUACUGUCUGCUUAGACAGCAAUCCAAACAGAUAUUUGUAAUCCCUUUGCAAUCAUUUUCACACAGCCAUAUACUCAGGUACCCCAGUCAGGAAUGUAAGUUACAAACUGUUAUGUGCCUUGAAGCAUGCUUAUGGCCCUUCUUUAUAGGUGGCCUGGUCACCAUACUCAUUACUUUUGAGUAAAUAAAAGGCAGAGUUUCAUAUUUUGGAGUUCUGCUUGUUGAUGAAAGAGGUAUUUUCUUUGCAGCAAUCUGGGAAAGCAAAGGUUUUUCAGCUUUACUUUCGUCAUGUAUCUGUGGCUUCUUUUUGGAGUUAGUACCAGAUUGACCAGAGCCAGCACCUUAUAAUCCAGGAUCUAGAAGCAGGCAGGGGGAGCUGAUAUAGCCAAUCUCUUUCAACAUUAUGAAGGGGGUUGUCCCCUAUUACAGGUUUGCUGUAUUUUUCUUCCUCUGAGUGUCUCAAAAGAGAGCAUCACCAAGAUUUUCUUCCUCCUAUUUCAUACACUUGUUCCUAUUUUCAUGUCUUUUUACAUAAGUUCUUUUAGAAUCUAGUAAUAGGAAUGUUCUGCUUUAAAUUUUAUUUCUUUUUAGUCUUGACUGUAUUUUCCUUUAGAAAACUACUUCUAAAAAACUUUAAUCAGAAGACCCAACAUUACUUAUAAGCACCAUUAAUGAAGCCUGACAAAACAAUUGUGCAGAAGCUAUUAUCAUCUUUACUUUUCAUAAUAAAUUACAGAUAAAUGAAUACGCGACUCAUCAAGGUUGUACAAUAAAUUAAUGAUAGCAGCUGAAAAUGUAGCCUAGGAACUUUGACACCCACGCUGCUGAUGAAAUUAUAUGCCCUGAAAACACCAGGACUGUCUCAGAUCCACUGUACCCUACCAACAUUCCUCUCAUAUGACUGAAGUGUUUUUAGGCUAUGAAAAUUAAAGAAAAGAAGAAAGAAUGUAAAUCAGUGUCUGACUCUACAUUGUUUUCCCCUUCAAAGCUAAAAGACUUUUUCUUUUUCUUGUCUUAAUUUUUUCUUACAGUAGAUAUUGGCAGACUAAAAGUUGAAAUAAAAUAGGAAAAAAUAACAAGCAUAUUUUGAGUGAUUACUCAGCUGGGGUCCUUUGUGACAGGAAAUGCAGCUGUGUGACUAAUGGGCCUGACUUUCUCUUGGCUUCCUUCC